AGGGAGUUUGAUCCUGGCUCAGAAUGAACGCUGGCGGCGUGCUUAAUACAUGCAAGUCGAACGAGAACGUCCCUUCGGGGGCUAGUAAAGUGGCGAACGGAUGAGUAACACGUAGGCAAUCUACCCUUGGGUUUGGGAUAACCUCGGGAAACCGGGACUAAUACCGAACAGUUCCUCAGAGUCGCAUGGCUUUGAGGAUAAAGGCGGGCCGUAAGGUCUGUCGCCCAUGGAGGAGCCUGCGGCUUAUCAGCUUGUUGGUGGGGUAACGGCUCACCAAGGCUAUGACGGGUAGCCGGACUGAGAGGUCGAUCGGCCAUACUGGGACUGAGACACUGCCCAGACUCCUACGGGAGGCUGCAGUAGGGAAUUUUGCGCAAUGGGCGAAAGCCUGACGCAGCGACGCCGCGUGCGGGAUGAAGGCCUUCGGGUUGUAAACCGCUGUCACCCGGGAAGAAGGAUCGGUUGGUUCAUACCCAGCCGAUUCCGACGUAACUGGGAGAGGAAGCACCGGCUAACUCCGUGCCAGCAGCCGCGGUAAUACGGAGGGUGCGAGCGUUAUUCGGAUUCACUGGGCUUAAAGGGCACGUAGGCGGCCGAAUAACUCAGUUGUGGAAUCCUCGGGCUCAACCCGGGAACUGCAAUUGAAAAUGUUCGGCUGGAGGACGGUAGGGGUGAGUGGAACUCAUGGUGGAGCGGUGAAAUGCGUAGAUAUCAUGAGGAACGCCNGGAGGCGAAAGCGACUCACUGGUCCGUUCCUGACGCUGA
rnacentral:rRNA from 1 species